UGGCUAAGAUAUCUGUAUGGUUAGCCCUACUAAAUUCUAUGCUUUAAGAAAUUAUAGUGGUAAAUAAGGGAACCAGCCGCGGUUACACUUUCUGUCUCUUUUUAGUCACUUAAAGUCUCCUUGAAUAACACUGAUUGUGUUCUUGUGCUCUGCAGAUAGAGGUGCAUUGUGGCGCUAGCCCCUUGCAUUAGGAUCCGUCACAUUAGAAUCUGCCUCUUAUAUUAGACUCAGUUUAUCACACUCAGCUCCUGGGACCAUGGGGAAUCAGGAUUUCCCCCUUUGUGGCCCAAGGUAAGUCUCAGGGAGGGGGGAAUAAACUAGUGGUUUUUCUUCCGUACCUAUCCCCCAAUUGUAGCCAUUAUGCCCCACUACAGCCCCUAAGCCUUCUACUACAGCCCAUAACCCCCAACUGAAGUCCCUACAUCCUGCUAGAACCUCUACUACAGCUCUUAACCCCCCUUUUUAACCCAUUACAGCCCCUAUACCCACACUACAGCCACUAUCCCCCCUUUUACACCCCUCCCACCCAUGACAUCCCCUUUUCCCCUACCACAGUCCCUACCCCCACUAAAGUCCCUAUCCUCCUUACUACCACCUCUCUCUCCUAGUUGCAGCCCAUAUACCCCACACUACAGCCUCUUUCCCCAAUACAGCCCCUAACACCCCUACUGCAGCCCCUAUCCCAUCACUAGAUUUCCUUUUCC